rnacentral:rRNA from 1 species
UGGGGAAUUUUGGACAAUGGGGGCAACCCUGAUCCAGCAAUGCCGCGUGUGUGAAGAAGGCCUUCGGGUUGUAAAGCACUUUUGUCCGGAAAGAAAUCCCUUGCCCUAAUACGGCGGGGGGAUGACGGUACCGGAAGAAUAAGCACCGGCUAACUACGUGCCAGCAGCCGCGGUAAUACGUAGGGUGCGAGCGUUAAUCGGAAUUACUGGGCGUAAAGCGUGCGCAGGCGGUUUUGUAAGACAGGCGUGAAAUCCCCGAGCUCAACUUGGGAAUGGCGCUUGUGAUUGCAAGGCUAGAGUAUGUCAGAGGGGGGUAGAAUUCCACGUGUAGCAGUGAAAUGCGUAGAGAUGUGGAGGAAUACCGAUGGCGAAGGCAGCCCCCUGGGACGUCACUGACGCUCAUGCACGAAAGCGUGGGGAGCAAACAGGAUUAGAUACCCUGGUAGUCCACGCCCUAAACGAUGUCAACUAGUUGUUGGGGAUUCAUUUCUUCAGUAACGUAGCUAACGCGUGAAGUUGACCGCCUGGGGAGUACGGUCGCAAGAUUA